GGUUGUGGCUCAGAGGUAGAGCACGCCUCUAGCAUGCGUGAAGCACUGGGUUCAAUCCUCAGCACCA
rnacentral:tRNA from 1 species